rnacentral:ncRNA from 1 species
AAGUCAUCAGCUUGCGUUGAUUACGUCCCUGCCCUUUGUACACACCGCCCGUCGCUACUACCGAUUGAAUGGUUUAGCAAGGUCCUCGGAUUGGUGCCGACUUGGUGGCAACACUAGGUCGGAUACUGAAAAGAAGAUCAAACUUGAUCAUUUAGAGGAAGUAAAAGUCGUAACAAGGUUUCCGUAGGUGAACCUGCGGAAGGAUCAUUA